rnacentral:rRNA from 2 species
CUAGUUGGUGAGGUAAAAGCCUCACCCAGGGCAGUGAUACGUAGCCGACCUGAGAGGGUAAUCCGUCACAUUGGACUGAAGACACGGCCAGACUUCCUACGGGAGGCAGCAGUAGGGGAAUCUUCCACAAUGGACGCAAGUCUGAUGGAGCAACGCCGCGUGAGUGAAGAAGGGUUCGGCUCGUAAAGCUCUGUUGUUAAAGAAGAACGUGGGUAAGAGUAACUGUUUACCCAGUGACGGUAUUUAACCAGAAAGCCACGGCUAACUACGUGCCAGCAGCCGCGGUAAUACGUAGGUGGCAAGCGUUAUCCGGAUUUAUUGGGCGUAAAGCGAGCGCAGGCGGUCUUUUAAGUCUAAUGUGAAAGCCUUCGGCUCAACCGAAGAAGUGCAUUGGAAACUGGGAGACUUGAGUGCAGAAGAGGACAGUGGAACUCCAUGUGUAGCGGUGAAAUGCGUAGAUAUAUGGAAGAACACCAGUGGCGAAGGCGGCUGUCUGGUCUGCAACUGACGCUGAGGCUCGAAAGCAUGGGUAGCGAACAGGAUUAGAUACCCUGGUAGUCCAUGCCGUAAACGAUGAUUACUAAGUGUUGGAGGGUUUCCGCCCUUCAGUGCUGCAGCUAACGCAUUAAGUAAUCCGCCUGGGGAGUACGACCGCAAGGUUGAAACUCAAAAGAAUUGACGGGGGCCCGCACAAGCGGUGGAGCAUGUGGUUUAAUUCGAAGCUACGCGAAGAACCUUACCAGGUCUUGACAUCUUCUGACAGUCUAAGAGAUUAGAGGUUCCCUUCGGGGACAGAAUGACAGGUGGUGCAUGGUUGUCGUCAGCUCGUGUCGUGAGAUGUUGGGUUAAGUCCCGCAACGAGCGCAACCCUUAUUACUAGUUGCCAGCAUUAAGUUGGGCACUCUAGUGAGACUGCCGGUGACAAACCGGAGGAAGGUGGGGACGACGUCAAAUCAUCAUGCCCCUUAUGACCUGGGCUACACACGUGCUACAAUGGAUGGUACAACGAGUCGCGAAACCGCGAGGUUAAGCUAAUCUCUUAAAACCAUUCUCAGUUCGGGCUGUAGGCUGCAACUCGCGUACACGAAGUCGGAAUCGAUGAGUAAUAGAGAUCAGCAUUUUUACCGAUCC